GCUAAAAACUUAGCCCACUUUACUUCAAUAACCCCUCUCAUCUUUAAACACAAAAUAAAACAUUUUAACAGUUUAGUACAGGCGAUUGAAAGACUAAUAGGCGCAAUAAAAAUAGUACCGCAAGGGAAAAGUGAAAUAGAACUGAAAUAAAUUUCAAGCACAAAAAAGUAAAGAUUAUAUCUUGUACCUUUUGCAUCAUGGUUUAACUAGUCAUAUUAAGCAAAAUGAUUUGUAGUUUAAUCCCCCGAAACUAAGCGAGCUACUUUAAGGCAGCUUUUUGAGCAAACCCGUCUCUGUUGCAAAAGAGUGGGAAGACCUUCAAGUAGCGGUGACAGACCUAACGAGCCUAGUGAUAGCUGGUUGCUUAAGAAAAGGAUUUUAGUCCCGCCUAAAGUUAAUUUAACAUCAAAAAGUAAGCAUUUGACUUUAGAGUAAUUUAAAUAAGGUACAGCCUAUUUAAAUAAGGAGACAACCUAAGACAAUGGGUAAUUUCUAUUACACAACAAAGUGGGCCUAAAAGCAGCCACCUUUAAAAUAGCGUCACAGCUUAAUUGUCCCCAUAUUAUAAUAAUCCCUCAAUUCAUUAAGACCCCUUUUUCCCUAUUAAGUAAUUCUAUAAAUUUAUAGAAGCUAUUAUGUUAAAACUAGUAACAAGAAGCAGCCCUUCUCUUAAAUGUAAGUGUACAUCAGAUAGGACAAACCACUGAUAAUUAAUGUAUAUAAAUCCAUAGUAGUAACUUAACAAGAAAACUCUACUUUUCACAACAUUAACCUAACACAAGAACAUUACAAGAAAGAUUAAAAAAGGAGGAAGGAACUAGGCAAAUAUUAACCUCGCCUGUUUACCAAAAACAUCGCCUCUUGCAAAACCUAUAAGAGGUCCAGCCUGCCCAGUGACUCUGUUCAACGGCCGCGGUAUCCUAACCGUGCGAAGGUAGCGUAAUCACUUGUUCUUUAAAUAAGGACUAGUAUGAAUGGCACCACGAGGGUUAUACUGUCUCCCCCCUUUAAUCAGUGAAACUAAUCUCCCCGUGAAGAAGCGGGGAUACUUCUAUAAGACGAGAAGACCCUAUGGAGCUUUAAACUAACUCUUAAUUACCACCCCCUUAUUAAGCUACUGCAAAUAAUAGUUAACCCGGUCUUAUAAGAGCUAGUUUUAGGUUGGGGUGACCACGGAGUAAAAAAUAACCUCCGAGCUGCAAGGGGAAUUACCUUUGAGCCACAAGCUACAACUUUAAGCACCAAUAAAUUGACAUCUAUUGACCCAAUAUUUUGAUCAACGAACCAAGUUACCCUAGGGAUAACAGCGCAAUCCGUUUCAAGAGCCCCUAUCGACAAACGGGUUUACGACCUCGAUGUUGGAUCAGGGUAUCCCGGUGGUGCAGCCGCUACCAAAGGUUCGUUUGUUCAACGAUUAAAACCCUACGUGAUCUG
rnacentral:rRNA from 1 species